GAUGAACGCUAGCGGCAGGCUUAACACAUGCAAGUCGAGGGGCAGCAUGAUCGAACUUUCGGGUUUGAUUGAUGGCGACCGGCGCAAGGGUGCGUAACGCGUGAGCAACUUGCCCUCAUCAGGGGAAUAACCGUUGGAAACGACGACUAAUACCCCAUAGCACAUAUUUAAGGCAUCUUUUAUAUGUUAAAGAAUUUCGGAUGAGGAUAGGCUCGCGUGACAUUAGCUAGAUGGCGGGGUAACGGCCCACCAUGGCGACGAUGUCUAGGGGUUCUGAGAGGAAGGUCCCCCACACUGGAACUGAGACACGGUCCAGACUCCUACGGGAGGCAGCAGUGAGGAAUAUUGGUCAAUGGUCUGACGACUGAACCAGCCAUGCCGCGUGAAGGAGACGGCCCUAUGGGUCUUAAACUUCUUUUGUAAGGAGCAAUAAGGNGUACGUGUACAUCGAUGAGA
rnacentral:rRNA from 1 species